rnacentral:pre_miRNA from 1 species
CAUGUACUCCCUCCGUUCGGAAUUACUUGUCGCAGAAAUGAAUGUAUCUAGAUGUAUUUUAGUUCUAGAUAUAUCCAUUUCCGAGACAAGUAAUUCCGAACGGAGGAAGUAGUUA